rnacentral:rRNA from 1 species
CGGAGUAGCCCAUGUCCGAUUAGUUUGUUGGUGCGGUAACGGCGCACCAAGGCGAUGAUCGGUAGCUGGUCUGAGAGGAUGAUCAGCCACACCGGGACUGAGACACGGCCCGGACUCCUACGGGAGGCAGCAGUGGGGAAUAUUGGACAAUGGGGGAAACCCUGAUCCAGCGAUGCCGCGUGAGUGAAGAAGGCCUUCGGGUUGUAAAGCUCUUUCGCGAGGGAAGAAAAGGCAACGGUAAAUAAUCGUUGCCACUGACGGUACCUCGAUAAGAAGCACCGGCUAACUACGUGCCAGCAGCCGCGGUAAUACGUAGGGUGCGAGCGUUAAUCGGAAUUACUGGGCGUAAAGCGUGCGUAGGCGGCCAUGCAAGUCAGAUGUGAAAGCCCCGGGCUUAACCUGGGAACUGCGUUUGAAACUGCAAGGCUAGAGUUCGGCAGGGGAAGAUGGAAUUCCAUGUGUAGCGGUGAAAUGCGUAGAUAUAUGGAAGAACACUAAUGGCGAAGGCAUUCUUCUGGGCCGAUACUGACGCUGAGUCACUAAAGCGUGGGGAGCAAACAGGAUUAGAUACCCUGGUAGUCCACGCCCUAAACGAUGUCCGCUAGCUAUUGGAUUUUAGAUUCAGUGGCGAAGCUAACGCGUUAAGCGGACCGCCUGGGGAGUACGGUCGCAAGAUUAAAACUCAAAGGAAUUGACGGGGACCCGCACAAGCGGUGGAUGAUGUGGUUUAAUUCGAUGCAACGCGAAAAACCUUACCUGCUCUUGACAUGUCUGGAACUCUGCAGAGAUGCAGAGGUGCCUUCGGGAACCAGAACACAGGUG